rnacentral:rRNA from 1 species
UGGGGAAUAUUGCACAAUGGGCGCAAGCCUGAUGCAGCAAUGCCGCGUGUAUGAAGAAGGCCUUCGGGUUGUAAAGUACUUUCAGCGGGGAGGAAGGUGUUGAGGUUAAUAACCUCAGCAAUUGACGUUACCCGCAGAAGAAGCACCGGCUAACUCCGUGCCAGCAGCCGCGGUAAUACGGAGGGUGCAAGCGUUAAUCGGAAUUACUGGGCGUAAAGCGCACGCAGGCGGUCUGUCAAGUCGGAUGUGAAAUCCCCGGGCUCAACCUGGGAACUGCAUUCGAAACUGGCAGGCUAGAGUCUUGUAGAGGGGGGUAGAAUUCCAGGUGUAGCGGUGAAAUGCGUAGAGAUCUGGAGGAAUACCGGUGGCGAAGGCGGCCCCCUGGACAAAGACUGACGCUCAGGUGCGAAAGCGUGGGGAGCAAACA